rnacentral:rRNA from 1 species
AGUGAACGCUGGCGGCAUGCCUUACACAUGCAAGUCGAACGGUAACGGGCCUUCGGGUGCCGACGAGUGGCGAACGGGUGAGUAAUAUAUCGGAACGUGCCCAGUAGUGGGGGAUAGCCCGGCGAAAGCCGGAUUAAUACCGCAUACGACCUGAGGGCGAAAGCGGGGGAUCGCAAGCCCUCGCGCUAUUGGAGCGGCCGAUAUCAGAUUAGCUAGUUGGUGGGGUAAAGGCCUACCAAGGCAACGAUCUGUAGUUGGUCUGAGAGGACGGCCAGCCACACUGGGACUGAGACACGGCCCAGACUCCUACGGGAGGCAGCAGUGGGGAAUUUUGGACAAUGGGCGCAAGCCUGAUCCAGCAAUGCCGCGUGCAGGAAGAAGGCCUUCGGGUUGUAAACUGCUUUUGUCAGGGAAGAAAUCUUCUGGGUUAAUACCUCGGGAGGAUGACGGUACCUGAAGAAUAAGCACCGGCUAACUACGUGCCAGCCGCCGCAGUAACAC